GUUCGGCGGCCGAACUUGACUUUCGGCAGCCGAACCUGAACUUCCCUAACUCAUGCUUUCGGGGGCCUAACGUGCCUCCAAAACGCAUGCAUGUUCGGCGGCCGAACUUGACUUUCGGCGGCCGAACCUGGGUUUUCCUCCAAAGACUUUUCAUGCAAGAACUCAUCUAAUUUCAUACUUAAAACCAUUAAAAACAUGAAAACAUUUUACAAAAACAUGAUUUUACCCUUCUAGAGGUCUCCGACAUCCGGGAUCCCACCGGACGGUAGGGAUUCCGAUACCGGAGUCUAGCCGGGUAUUACAUUCU
rnacentral:lncRNA from 1 species